CCUACGGGAGGCAGCAGUGGGGAAUUUUGGACAAUGGGGGCAACCCUGAUCCAGCCAUUCCGCGUGAGUGAAGAAGGCCUUCGGGUUGUAAAGCUCUUUCGCAAGGGAAGAAAACUUACUCAAUAACACUGGGUGAGGCUGACGGUACCUUGAUAAGAAGCACCGGCUAACUACGUGCCAGCAGCCGCGGUAAUACGUAGGGUGCGAGCUUUAAUCGGAAUUACUGGACGCAAAGCGGUAAGUGAGAGUUGAAAUCCCCGGGCUCAACCUGGGAACUGCGUUUGAAACUACAAGGCUAGAGUAUGGCAGAGGGGGGUAGAAUUCCACGUGUAGCAGUGAAAUGCGUAGAGAUGUGGAGGAAUACCAAUGGCGAAGGCAGCCCCCUGGGUCAAUACUGACGCUCAUGCACGAAAGCGUGGGGAGCAAACAGGAUUAGAUACCCGAGUAGUC
rnacentral:rRNA from 1 species